rnacentral:rRNA from 1 species
CCUACGGGGGGCUGCAGUGGGGAAUAUUGCACAAUGGGGGAAACCCUGAUGCAGCGACGCCGCGUGAGUGAAGAAGUAUUUCGGUACGUAAAGCUCUAUCAGCAGGGAAGAAAAUGACGGUACCUGACUAAGAAGCCCCGGCUAACUACGUUCCAGCAGCCGCGGUAAUACGUAGGGGGCAAGCGUUAUCCGGAUUUACUGGGUGUAAAGGGAGCGUAGACGGCAGCGCAAGUCUGGAGUGAAAUCCCAUGGCUUAACCAUGGAACUGCUUUGGAAACUGUGCAGCUAGAGUGCAGGAGAGGUAAGCGGAAUUCCUAGUGUAGCGGUGAAAUGCGUAGAUAUUAGGAGGAACACCAGUGGCGAAGGCGGCUUACUGGACUGUAACUGACGUUGAGGCUCGAAAGCGUGGGGAGCAAACAGGAUUAGAUACCCUAGUAGUC